UAAGGAAGUAAAAGUCGUAACAAGGUUUCCGUAGGUGAACCUGCGGAAGGAUCAUUAAUGAGAUCGUGCCCUCCGGGGUAGACCUCCCACCCUUUGUAUACUAUACUCUGUUGCUUUGGCGAGCCUGUCUCUACAGACUACCGGCCCCGGCUGGUCCGUGCUCGCCAGAGGACCUAAAACUCUGAAUUAUAAUGCCGUCUGAGUACUAUAUAAUAGUUAAAACUUUCAACAACGGAUCUCUUGGUUCUGGCAUCGAUGAAGAACGCAGCGAAAUGCGAUAAGUAAUGUGAAUUGCAGAAUUCAGUGAAUCAUCGAAUCUUUGAACGCACAUUGCGCCCUCUGGUAUUCCGGAGGGCAUGCCUGUUCGAGCGUCAUUACAACCCUCAAGCUCUGCUUGGUAUUGGACCUCUGCCUUCCGGGCAGAUCCCAAAAUCAGUGGCGGCGUCAUCUGACUCUAAGCGUAGUAAAUUCUCUCGCUCUGGAGCCCCGGUGAUGGCUGGCCAUCGAACCCCCCAAUUUUUUUAAGGUUGACCUCGGAUCAGGUAGGGAUACCCGCUGAACUUAAGCUAU
rnacentral:rRNA from 1 species